GUGACAAUACACACUGUAGUUUAGCAGGAUGGACUGUAGAAUAGGGAUACUGGUUGCAGUAGCCAUCUGUUGGACAGGUAUUGAUGGUCAGACUCUGACAGAAUCUGAACCAGCGGUUAAAAAGCCAGGAGAGUCUCACAAACUGACCUGUACAACGUCUGGAAUCUCAUUUAGCAGCUACUGGAUGGCCUGGAUCAGACAGGCUCCUGGGAAAGGACUGGAAUGGAUUGCAAUUAUUGAGUAUGACAGUGCUAGAAAGUUUUAUUCUCAGUCAGUCCAAGGCCGGUUUACCAUCUCCAGAGACAACGGCAGAGAGCAGCUGUAUCUGCAGAUGAACAGCUUGAAGACAGAAGAUUCUGCUGUUUAUUACUGUGCUCGAGAGACACAGUGACCGAGUGAAACUGAACAGCUGUACAAAAACCACUGC